AAAUUGAAGAGUUUGAUCAUGGCUCAGAUUGAACGCUGGCGGCAGGCCUAACACAUGCAAGUCGAGCGGUAGCACAGAGAGCUUGCUCUCGGGUGACGAGCGGCGGACGGGUGAGUAAUGUCUGGGAAACUGCCUGAUGGAGGGGGAUAACUACUGGAAACGGUAGCUAAUACCGCAUAAUGUCGCAAGACCAAAGUGGGGGACCUUCGGGCCUCAUGCCAUCAGAUGUGCCCAGAUGGGAUUAGCUAGUAGGUGGGGUAACGGCUCACCUAGGCGACGAUCCCUAGCUGGUCUGAGAGGAUGACCAGCCACACUGGAACUGAGACACGGUCCAGACUCCUACGGGAGGCAGCAGUGGGGAAUAUUGCACAAUGGGCGCAAGCCUGAUGCAGCCAUGCCGCGUGUGUGAAGAAGGCCUUCGGGUUGUAAAGCACUUUCAGCGGGGAGGAAGGCGUUAAGGUUAAUAACCUUGGCGAUUGACGUUACCCGCAGAAGAAGCACCGGCUAACUCCGUGCCAGCAGCCGCGGUAAUACGGAGGGUGCAAGCGUUAAUCGGAAUUACUGGGCGUAAAGCGCACGCAGGCGGUCUGUCAAGUCGGAUGUGAAAUCCCCGGGCUUAACCUGGGAACUGCAUUCGAAACUGGCAGGCUAGAGUCUUGUAGAGGGGGGUAGAAUUCCAGGUGUAGCGGUGAAAUGCGUAGAGAUCUGGAGGAAUACCGGUGGCGAAGGCGGCCCCCUGGACAAAGACUGACGCUCAGGUGCGAAAGCGUGGGGAGCAAACAGGAUUAGAUACCCUGGUAGUCCACGCCGUAAACGAUGUCGAUUUGGAGGUUGUGCCCUUGAGGCGUGGCUUCCGGAGCUAACGCGUUAAAUCGACCGCCUGGGGAGUACGGCCGCAAGGUUAAAACUCAAAUGAAUUGACGGGGGCCCGCACAAGCGGUGGAGCAUGUGGUUUAAUUCGAUGCAACGCGAAGAACCUUACCUGGUCUUGACAUCCACAGAACUUUCCAGAGAUGGAUUGGUGCCUUCGGGAACUGUGAGACAGGUGCUGCAUGGCUGUCGUCAGCUCGUGUUGUGAAAUGUUGGGUUAAGUCCCGCAACGAGCGCAACCCUUAUCCUUUGUUGCCAGCGGUUAGGCCGGGAACUCAAAGGAGACUGCCAGUGAUAAACUGGAGGAAGGUGGGGAUGACGUCAAGUCAUCAUGGCCCUUACGACCAGGGCUACACACGUGCUACAAUGGCAUAUACAAAGAGAAGCGACCUCGCGAGAGCAAGCGGACCUCAUAAAGUAUGUCGUAGUCCGGAUUGGAGUCUGCAACUCGACUCCAUGAAGUCGGAAUCGCUAGUAAUCGUAGAUCAGAAUGCUACGGUGAAUACGUUCCCGGGCCUUGUACACACCGCCCGUCACACCAUGGGAGUGGGUUGCAAAAGAAGUAGGUAGCUUAACCUUCGGGAGGGCGCUUACCACUUUGUGAUUCAUGACUGGGGUGAAGUCGUAACAAGGUAACCGUAGGGGAACCUGCGGUUGGAUCACCUCCUUACCUUAAAGAA
rnacentral:rRNA from 1 species